ACCUCUUGGGCUUCAACAAUCUUCCCACGAUUCAAUGAAUUUAAUUCAUCCUCACCUGGACACUCCUAAGAUCAAACAAGUUUGCAUCGUCUCUUCUCUUCCACCUUCUCAAGUUCCACCUUAUCAUCCACCUCUUUAGCUUCAACUAUCUCCCUAUAAAAUGUCUUCAACAAGCUUUCCUCACAUAGGCACUCUCAAAUCAAAGUACGCACGCAACAGAGAAACACAAUUCUACCAACCCUCCACACCACUUGUGCCAAUUUUCACAUCAAGACAAGUCCUACUUAUCAUCCUCUACAUUACUAAUCAAAAACAUGGACGGAUAAUUUGCUUGCAGUUCUAGAGAAUGUGUAUUUUCAUGACCAUCAUCUGCCAUGAUUUUAGAAGUCAUUGUUGAUCCAUCUACAGCAAGUUUGCAACGUUAGAAUGUCACUCAAAUCAUUUUAACUCUUCUUCUCCCAAUUUUCAAUUUUUCACCGAUAUCUUCUUCUCCCCCCAAACCACUGAUGAGUUGCAUUCGUCUCAUAUUUUUAUUUUUUUAAUUCACCUACCCAAGAUAGACAAUCUAAGGACUUCAUCACAUUUUUUGUAACACAUACCUCAAAGGUUUACAACAUUAUUUUUUUUCAUUAUGUAAUACAUAAUUUGGUCUCUUCAUUUCUCAUAAAUGCAUACGGUUGUGAUUCUCAGA